GCAGAGUUGUGGUAAAUUUCAGAAAAGCAAAAGCAGCUUUUGACCAAUUGGAGGACACAGAUAUUGUAGAGACCAAAAAAAGGAGGAAGAAGGCGAUUGUCAAUUGCACCAGUGUCCUACAUUCAGAUCAAUAAGAUGCAGGAUUUGCAAGAAAUGUUGAUGAAACUGAGAGAUGAAUAUAGAUUUUGCCUGCUUUAUGGAUUUCAGGCAAAUCAAUAUCUUACUUCCAACUGAAUGUGAAGCAUUAGACUCGUACAUGACACAAAUGCAUACAUCUUUAAUUGCAAAUUUUCAAAGAACAGGAUUGCUGUUUGCUUCAGUAUGAAACAAUGGAAGUGCUUCUAUUCCAACUGCCUUGGAACAGAUGAAGAUGACUGCUAGGCUUACGUGUCCAAGGGGCCUCCCAGAUGCAAUUUUAUGACAAAUUUGUAAGUUAGGUAGAUGAACUUGGUCCAUUUUCUGUAUUUUACUGGGUGGAAUUUUCUUCUUUGUUGCUUUGUGUAGAGGAUGUCAAGACAAAUUCAGGAAGGUGACGAGUCAUUUUCAUAUAUUAGACCACAUGUUGCUGUUGGGAGUUACAUCCAUGCUAAAUCAUGCAUAUUGUUCUUAUAGGCUCUCCAUGCCACAGAUGGGUAGCUCAAUCACAGUUGAGAAAUUUUCAUGUUGGUUCAAAAA